CUGUCUUUCUCCUGCCCUCCUUUUACCUGCUUUUUUUUCUCCCGAAGGCAAGCCAUAGAAACUAAAAAUACACUCUAAUCUUCACCCGGCUUUCUGUCUUGGAGCUGGAUGUAAAGAAAUUCUCUGACCUAUCUAGUUUGACUGUGGGUCAUUAGACCCCCAUUUCAGAAAGAGUCCUGUCCCAUACCCAGGAGGAAGGAAUGCUGCACAAAGAAGCCAAGAAGAAUCUGAACAGGCAAGCCUUGCUGGGUUUCUCCACCAAGUCUAUUGGUAUUAGAUCAUACCCUUUAGUCCAGUCACAUUUCUACAUGGCUGUUCAUGUUUCAUUAGUGCCUAUCGAAUGAAGUCUUCAUAAAAAGCACAAGAGGACAAAGUACAACUGAAUUUGUGGAGGAUUGUAGAAAGGUGAAAAAUAACUCAUCCAUAUGCCAGGAGGGUGGCACACCCCAACUCCACAGGAAUGGAAGCUCCUGUACUCAGUAUCCUUCCAGACCUCACUCUAUGUAUCUCUUCAUCUGGCUGUUUAUAUGUAGCCUUUAAAAUACUCUUUAUGAAUAAAGGGGUAAAUGUAAGUAAGUGUUUCCCUGAGUUCUGUGUGUUUUUCUAGCAAAUUAUUUGAGCCUAAAGAGAGGGGUUGCGGGAACCCUAACUUGAAGCAGGUCAGUUAAAAGUUCCAGAGGCCCAGAUUUGAAACUGAUGUCUAAAGUUGAGGCAGUCUCGUGGGACUAAGCCCUCAGUCUGUGGGAUCUGAUACUUUCUGCAGGAAGAUAGCUUCAGAAUUGAAUUGGAUUGGAGAACACUCAGCUGGUGUCCACUACAGAAUUGUUUACUUGCUUGUUGGUGAGAAGAAAUCCCAAUACAUUUGGUCACAAGUUUUCUGUGUUGGUUGUUGUGGUACAAGAGCCAAAGAAAAACUGUUUUUUUCCACAAAAUCAGCGUCAGAAGUGGGGUUGUGAGAAUAUAAUGACAGAAGCUGAGUUUGUUUUUCUACACACAUAAAAGACAAAGAAAGGUCAAGGAAUUGUUCCAUAUUAAAAACUGGAGAGACAUGACAAGUAAAUGCAAUGCAUCAUCUUGGAUUAGCACUUUGACCAAGGAAAGAAAAUAACCAUAAAAGACAUUAUUGGGACAACUGAUAACAUUGGAAUAUGGCGUAGAUUAUAAUAUUGAAACAAUGUCAAAUUUCUUGAUUGUGACACAUUUACUGAGGAUGUAUAAGAGGAAAUCAUCACUCUGAGGAAAUACAUACUGACAUAUUAAGAGGUAAAGGAGAAUGAUAUUUGCAAAUUACUAUCAAAUAGGAGAAGGAGAAGGAGAGGAAGAGAAAAACAGAAUGAUAAGGCAAAUGUGAUAAAAUGGUAAUUGGUGAAUUUGGGUAAAGGGCACUUUGGGAGUUCUUUGUAAUAUUCCCAGUUUUUCAAGUGUGAAAUUAAAUAAAAAUAAAAAAUUUAAAAACAUGAAUACAAAAUUCAAUAAUAACUACAUCAAUAUCAAUAACCACACUUUUUCUAUGUAUUUAAUGAAAGAAAAUGUUUUCUAUUGCCAAAUUCUGUUGGGAUGAGCAGCCAAUGUAUAAUUUUUGUAUCUUGUUAUAAGAAGGAUUAAAAAAAAUUAAAGCAAGUCAAAAUGGCUGGCAAGCAGGCCAUUUCAGCAUCAGGCAAGUGGCUGGAUCGUAUUCAAAAAUGGUAUUACAAUGCUGCAGGAUUCAAUAAACUGAGGUUAAUGCGAGAUGAUACAAUAUAUGAGGAUGAAGACGUAAAACAAGCCAUAAGAAGGCUUCCUGAGAACCUUUAUAAUGACAGGAUGUUUCACAUUAAGAGGGCACUGGACCUGACCAUGAAGCAUCAGAUCUUGCCUACAGAGCAGUGGACCAAAUAUGAAGAGGAAAAUUUCUACCUUGAACUGUAUCUGAAAGAGGUUAUUCGGGAAAGAAAAGAAAGAGAAGAAUGGGCAAAGAAGUAAUCAAGUAGUUGAAGUCUGUGGAUGCAGCUGUUAUGAAGAUGGUCAAACCUGAAACAAACAAUGUUAAGAAUUAUUUGGUCUGCAGAUGUUUUACUUUAAAUAAAUGUCUAUUGUAAUGGCUGGAGUUUUUGAAUUCCAAACCUUAUACUGAAUAACUACUGAAUCCAUUUACUGUUAAAUUUGUUUUCCAAACUUUCAAGAUAUUUUCAGUCGUGUUUAAGUGCUUUCUGGAGCUCAGAGGCCACUUUAUCAGUUUUCCUCACUGGUUAGAUAGCCUAUCAGUUUAUGGAAGGAUAUAACUUCCGUAAGUUACAUCCUUAUGGAAGCUACUAAAUAAAAGAAGGGGGUAUGCAUCCCCUAGUUUGCCAGGAUUCAGAAACAGCCUCUUCACUGCUAUCUGAAUAGAUUUGAUUUUGCAUCCUAUCAUUUAAAAAGAAAUUAGGUAUGCACCCCAACAUAGGUAUACUUAAGUAAUAUAUAUACUCCUGUGCUAACAUGUAGACUAGAAGACAAAAAGUAGACACUAGAAAAA